rnacentral:tRNA from 2 species
AGUAAAAUAAGCUAAACCAAGCUUUUGGGCCCAUACCCCAAAUACGUGGGCGAAAACCCCUCUUUUACUA